rnacentral:tRNA from 2 species
GCCCAGGUGGCGAAAUUGGUAGACGCACCAGAUUUAGGUUCUGGCGCCGCAAGGUGUGGGGGUUCGAGUCCCUUCCUGGGCACCA